UCCACUCGAAGUUUAAUGAACUCUCCAUUGACAUGCUGCUUUUAGACAUAAUGUAAUGGCUGUUGUUCAAGUAUUGUUUAUUGUGUGUGUUUAGUAUACCUUGUAAAUUGUUUCCGUAUAACUAUUGGGGCCGCUGUAAUUGGCAAUAGCUGUUGUGGUUUCCCAGCCAAUGAAUGUAUAAGUAUGAUGGCAAAGUAAAUAAAUAAAUAAGUAUUGUAAGUUACAUUCUGGUUUAAAAAUGUCAGCGCAAGCGAUGUUUUUGACAACACUGACAUCACAUGCACAUCAUUUACAAAUUAAUUAUCAGCAAUUUGUCCUUGAAAUCUAAACAGCAGUUGAUGUUGAUUAUUUCAAACAAGAACAGUUGUCUACAAAGGCUAGAUUUCAGGCAUUCAUGAAUCACCAAUAAAUAUCAAUAAUAAAUAUCUAAAAAAACCCACUUGUUUAAGCUCUGUAAUAUAUAUUACUAAACCAGAUUUCAAGCACUGGCAUUUAGUCUGGCAUUGAUAACUGUGUCAAAGUAAUGAGUAAUUAUAAUGGAUUGUAACCCAGCUGCAGGAUUGGUGGCUACCCUCAGUGCAUCAAGGGAUAAACUUGGAAUGUGCUGUAUACAAACAAUUUUCAGACUCCAACUUGCACCCUAACCUCCUACUUUCCUAUGCAGCCACUUUUGUGUCUUUUCUGCCUUUUAUUGUGCUUUUGCAAGUUGCA